rnacentral:tRNA from 1 species
GGAGGAAUGCCAGAGCGGUCGAAUGGGGCGGUCUCGAAAACCGUUAGGCUCGCAAGGGCCUCGAAGGUUCGAAUCCUUCUUCCUCCGCCG